rnacentral:rRNA from 1 species
CGGAACACGUACACAACCUUCCUUUAAGCGGGGGAUAGCCCAGAGAAAUUUGGAUUAAUACCCCAUAGAAUGUUGGUGAGGCAUCUCACUGAUAUUAAAGAUUUAUCACUUGAAGAUGGGUGUGCGUCUGAUUAGGUAGUUGGCGGGUAACGGCCCACCAAGCCAUCGAUCAGUAACUGGUGUGAGAGCACGACCAGUCACACGGGCACUGAGACACGGGCCCG